rnacentral:rRNA from 1 species
CAGGCCUAACACAUGCAAGUCGAGCGGAAACGAUGGGAGCUUGCUCCCAGGCGUCGAGCGGCGGACGGGUGAGUAACGCGUAGGAAUCUGCCCAGUAGAGGGGGAUAGCCCGGGGAAACCCGGAUUAAUACCGCAUACGCCCUACGGGGGAAAGGCCGGGAUCUUCGGACCGGUCACUAUUGGAGGAGCCUGCGUGAGAUUAGCUUGUUGGUGGGGUAAUGGCCUACCAAGGCGACGAUCUCUAGCUGGUCUGAGAGGAUGAUCGGCCACACCGGAACUGAGACACGGUCCGGACUCCUACGGGAGGCAGCAGUGGGGAAUAUUGGACAAUGGGGGCAACCCUGAUCCAGCCAUGCCGCGUGUGUGAAGAAGGCCUUCGGGUUGUAAAGCACUUUAAGCAGUGAGGAAGGCUUUGAGGUUAAUAGCCUCAAGGAUUGACGCUAACUGCAGAAUAAGCACCGGCUAACUCCGUGCCAGCAGCCGCGGUAAUACGGAGGGUGCAAGCGUUAAUCGGAAUUACUGGGCGUAAAGCGCGCGUAGGUGGUUUGUUAAGUCAGAUGUGAAAGCCCAGGGCUCAACCUUGGAACUGCAUCUGAUACUGGCAGGCUAGAGUAUGGUAGAGGGAGGUAGAAUUCCACGUGUAGCGGUG